AACAGGUUGCCUUUCUCUGGAAGAGAAAUAAUAUUUCUGCCCUUUACUGGUAGAAUCUCACCCUGCAACGGGAACAAAUCCAGGAGGUAACAGCCAGCAGAAGGAAUUUUUGUGAGGUGUCUUCUGAGAGCAUUUCCCACAUGACUCUGACAAGGGAAGGCAGCUGCAGUUGUUUAUUGCUCUUAAAUACAGUGGAGAUGGUACUUUGUGACUAGAAAGAUGACUACACAGGAACACUGGCAACAGAUUUGUUUUGAAUCUUGCUCUGCAAAUGAUCUCUGCAGGGUGAAAUUGCAUUUCAUUGAAAAAUAGUGUCAUGGAUACAGGAGUACAGUUUGUCUUUAUCAUGUUCUUUUUUAUGUGAAACUUGAUAAACUUGGAAGUGAAUAUUUUCAUACACAUGUCAACAAUAUUAAGUGGAAUGCAAUUUCUUUUUAGUAAAAUGCUGUGGGUGCUGGAUUUUAGGAAGUAAAAGAUAUGAUCACAAAAACAGGCCUUCAAGAACCCGUAGAUGUUAUCUAGCCCAUGCUCCUAUGUUAGAUCUGCUGUGCCUUAGCAUUGUUGAGAGAGGGUUUGCCUUGCUUUGCUCUCAGAAAUAUCUAAUCACGAUGGUUACACAACCUCUUAUGACAUGUGUUUGA